AGAGUUUGAUCCUGGCUCAGAACGAACGCUGGCGGCAGGCUUAACACAUGCAAGUCGAACGCGUGUAGCAAUACACGAGUGGCGCACGGGUGAGUAACGCGUGGAUAUCUGCCUUUUGGUUCGGAAUAACCCCGGGAAACUGGGGCUAAUACCGGAUGGUUCCUUCGGGAUAAAGAUUUAUCGCCAAAAGAUGAGUCCGUGUCCGAUUAGCUAGUUGGUGAGGUAAUGGCUCACCAAGGCGACGAUCGGUAGCUGGUCUGAGAGGACGAUCAGCCACACUGGGACUGAGACACGGCCCAGACUCCUACGGGAGGCAGCAGUGGGGAAUAUUGGACAAUGGGGGCAACCCUGAUCCAGCCAUGCCGCGUGAGUGAUGAAGGCCUUCGGGUUGUAAAGCUCUUUUGGCGGGGACGAUGAUGACGGUACCCGCAGAAUAAGCCCCGGCUAACUUCGUGCCAGCAGCCGCGGUAAGACGAAGGGGGCUAGCGUUGUUCGGAAUUACUGGGCGUAAAGCGCGUGUA
rnacentral:rRNA from 1 species